rnacentral:misc_RNA from 1 species
GAUGAAGAACGCAGCGAAAUGCGAUAAGUAGUGUGAAUUGCAGAAUUCAGUGAAUCAUCGAAUCUUUGAACGCACAUUGCGCCCUUUUGUAUUCCAAAGGGCAUGCCUGUUCGAGCGUCAUUUGUACCCUCAAGCUUUGCUUGGUGUUGGGCGUCUUGUCUCUAGCUUUGCUGGAGACUCGCCUUAAAGUAAUUGGCAGCCGGCCUACUGGUUUCGGAGCGCAGCACAAGUCGCACUCUCUAUCAGCAAAGGUCUAGCAUCCAUUAAGCCUUUUUUUCAACUUUUGACCUCGGAUCAGGUAGGGAUACCCGCUGAACUUAAGCAUAUCAAUAAGCGGAGGA